CGUAGGGAGCAAGCGUUGUUCGGAUUUACUGGGCGUAAAGGGCGCGUAGGCGGCAAUUCAAGUCAGCUGUGAAAUCUCCGGGCUUAACUCGGAACGGUCAGCUGAUACUGCUUUGCUAGAGUGCGGAAGGGGCAAUCGGAAUUCUCGGUGUAGCGGUGAAAUGCGUAGAUAUCGAGAGGAACACCUGAGGUGAAGACGGGUUGCUGGGCCGACACUGACGCUGACAGCGCGAAAGCCAGGGGAGCAAACGGGAUUAGAUACCCCGGUAGUCCUGGCCCUAAACGAUGAAUACUUGGUGUCUGGAGUUAUUAGUGCUCCGGGUGCCGUCGCUAACGUUUUAAGUAUUCCGCCUGGGGAUACGCUCGCAAGAGUG
rnacentral:rRNA from 1 species